UAAAAUCCCACAGUGACCAAUCAGGCAGAAAUGUGAAAGCUGGGAUCCUCUGACUUCUGCAGUGGACUUAAUUUUCUUUUGCUCCUCUCUUUCAGGACAGGAAAAAGCAUGACACUCCUCCCAUCUUUGCCAAAAGCUGUGGUGUUUGAGCAGCCAAAGCCAGGAGGCUUCAGCACCAGGGCUCUGCCCUGGAGGGCUCCUGGUCCUGCCCAUGCUGUGGGGUCAGCAGGAACAAGAGGAAAUGGGGUGCCAGAGCCGUGUGCCAUCAGGCCGUGUUUCCCUCUGAGGACAGAGAGUCCGGGCUGAGGGAGAAAAACACCAACUCACAGCCACUCAGGCCUGGCAGUCCUCUGCAGCGAGAGCUCAUCACACAUCCACAGAGGCAAGUCCCGCAUCUGAAAGAAGAAAAAUAAACAGAAGAAAAAGGUUCUUGUUCCGGAGAGGUUCUUACCCCAGAGCCUUACAGGGUCUGUAGCCUUGAUAAAUGGGAAUCAAAUUGGCUCAGCCUGUCAGGAAAGCAAAAACAUCCUGGGGUUUGUUUGGCCAAUGACGGACCAUGAAGAUGUCUGUACUUCCAGUGGGUUGGGGCAGUGAGGAGCAAGUUUUUGAUUCCAUGAUUUCUGACUGACCUGUCGCAGAAAUGGUCAUCUCAGCGUGCACCCGCUUCCUGGCAAAUCCAGAUGUCACCUGGAAAUGCUAAGUGAGGAUUUUCAGCCUUGACUACACGAGAGACAGCCUUCUCAAAAUGGAACUGACCUUGGCAGAAGAGCAUCUGUUAAGGUUAGCAGAACAGAAACACAGGACAGGAAAAAGCAUUACACUCCUCCCAUCUUUGCCAAAAGCUGUGCUGUUUGAGCAGCCAAAGACAGGAGGCUCCAGCACCAGGGCUCUGCGCUGUGGCUCCUGGUCC